rnacentral:rRNA from 1 species
GAUGAACGCUGGCGGCGUGCCUAAUACAUGCAAGUCGAGCGGACAGAUAAGGAGCUUGCUCCUUUGACGUUAGCGGCGGACGGGUGAGUAACACGUGGGUAACCUACCUAUAAGACUGGAAUAACUCCGGGAAACCGGGGCUAAUGCCGGAUAACAUGUUGAACCGCAUGGUUCUACAGUGAAAGGCGGCUUUGCUGUCACUUAUAGAUGGACCCGCGCCGUAUUAGCUAGUUGGUGAGGUAACGGCUCACCAAGGCAACGAUACGUAGCCGACCUGAGAGGGUGAUCGGCCACACUGGAACUGAGACACGGUCCAGACUCCUACGGGAGGCAGCAGUAGGGAAUCUUCCGCAAUGGGCGAAAGCCUGACGGAGCAACGCCGCGUGAGUGAUGAAGGUCUUCGGAUCGUAAAACUCUGUUAUUAGGGAAGAACAAAUGCGUAAGUAACUGUGCGCGUCUUGACGGUACCUAAUCAGAAAGCCACGGCUAACUACGUG